CGAGGAGGCAAGAGGAGAGAGAGAGCAAGUUUCUUGCCUGCACCUAAGGAGAGGGUCAAUACACCAGGGCAAGAGGGAAAAAGGGAAAACAUGAAGGAACACAGGCAGAUGGAAAAAGAAAUUUAUGAAAGAAGAGUCUUUGAUGCUACAUUAUGUCCCAGCCUGAACUCACCCUCCACACGCGCCUGCCCAAGUAUGAGAAGAUCUCCAAGAGACAAGGUCUCACCAUGUUGUGCAGGCUGGUCUCAGACUCCUGGGCUCAAGCAAUCCUCCCGCCUCGGCCUUCCAAAGUGCUGGGAUUACAGGUGUGAGCCAUUGCACCUGGCCUACAUCUGGUAAUUUUUGAUUGGAUGCUGAGCAUUGUUUAUUUUAUGUUGGUGACUGCUGCAUUGUAUUGUCUUUCUUCAAAAAGUGUUGGACUUUAUUCUGAUGAGUCAUUAAGUUACUUGCAGAUCAGUGACAUAGUUUGGAUAUUUGUCCCCACCCAAGUCUCAUAUUGAAAUGUAAUCCCCAAUCUUGGAGGUGGGGCCUGGUGGGAGGUGUUUGGAUCAUGGUCGGGGGGAUACCUCCUGAAUGGCUUGGACCAUCCCCUUGGUGAUGAGUGAGCUCUUGCUCUGAGUUCACAGGAGAUCCAGUCAUUUAAAAGAGUGUGGCACCAGCCAGGCAUGGUGGCUCAUGCCUGUAAUCCCAGCACUUUGGGAGGCGGAGGCAGGCAGAUCAUCUGAGGCUAGGAGUUUGAGACCAGCCUGGCCAACAUGGUGAAACCCCGUCUCUACUGAAAAUAGAAAUAUUAGCCAGGUGUGGUGGUGUGCGCCUGUAAUCCCAGCUACUUGGGAGGCUGAGGCAGGAGAAUAGCUUGA
rnacentral:lncRNA from 1 species